rnacentral:rRNA from 1 species
GACGAACGCUGGCGGUGUGCCUCACACAUGCAAGUCGAACGGGGUAGCAAUACCUAGUGGCGGACGGGUGAGUAACGCGUGGGAAUCUGCCUUUAGAUGGGGGAUAACUGACCGAAAGGUUAGCUAAUACCGCAUAUGCCGAAAGGUGAAAGGAGCAAUCCGUCUGAAGAUGAGCCCGCGUCCGAUUAGCUAGUUGGUAGGUAAAGGCCUACCAAGGCUACGGUCGGUAGCUGGUCUGAGAGGAUGAUCAGCCACAAUGGGAC